UGGAUGAAAAGAAAAGGAUCAAGUGGCGAGUGUGUGGUGGGAAUUUUGUGGGGGAGGAGUGGUGGUGGUUGCGCGCCACUUAAAAAUCUUCUCAACAACCGUCGAGAUAUAAUGGGGUCUUUGAUUGAUCUUAGGAUUCUGCAGCUGACCAUGACCUCACCAUCCUAGACAACGACUGGAUAAUACAUUUCAAUAUUUUGCCAUGGAAGAGAAGAAGCUUACAGGGCGUUUGUGCAUAGAGGAAGAAUUAAAGAGGCUUAUGUAGCAAGGGAGAAGCAUA